UGACUUUUAUCAAAAUAUACUAAAAAUUUAAUUUUUAUACAACUCGGGUUUCUCAUGAGUAAAAAUUACAAACUUUAGCCAGACAUUCCCUCAGUAACGGGUGCGUAAUGUGCACCUCCGUCCGCGCAUUAUCAGGUCCGUCAGUUGUUGAACUGGAGAGGAGAGAGAGCGAGAGGGUACACUGCUACUGCUGCUUAAACCCUCGAUAAGCUUCCCACAAAAUUCGCAAACGCCUUAGAAUUGUUUGGUUACUCGAUAGUUCGCUGCACACUCCGAACAUGGCAAAUGGAGGUUGCAACGACAGUGCCGCAAACGACGUCUUCGAACUCGAAGCGAAGCGCAAAGAAGACUUCUCUUGGCAUCCUUGCCAGGUUUCUCUCUGGUCAGUUUUUCAUCCGCUUCCCCUAAUCAAAGCAUUUUGUAGUUCGAAUGUCAUUUGAUAGUACUACUCGGUAAAUAUGCGUG
rnacentral:lncRNA from 1 species